rnacentral:tRNA from 1 species
GGUGGCAUAGCUCAGUCGGUAGAGCAAGCGGCUCAUAUCCGCUCGGUCAGGGGUUCAAGUCCCUUUGCCACUA